rnacentral:lncRNA from 1 species
CCUGGACAGAUUGACAAUCACUUCCCCCCUGAUGAGUUGCUCCAAACUCUGGAGAUUACAAAUACUCCUAAACACACAUUCCCUGCAUCUCAGCCCAUACUUUUAGCACCAUGUGCAUUUACCAAUGCAAACAAACACACCUUUGUUGUUAUCCCGAAAAUUCCCAAUAAACAGGACAUCUCCCAUGUGGAGCACCACUCAGGCUCAGUGCAACUGGGAGAACUUAGGGUAAAAAUACAGGCAUUCUUCAAUAUUUUUUUCAGACAGUAAAUUCUCUGUCUAGGUGGCAAAAGCAAUUCCCUGUGCAACUUUUAGACCCACAGGUAAGCCUAAUGAUCAAGCUCUCCAGACUCUUAAGGAUCUUACAGAAAACAGGAAACCUCCAUGGUUCAUCUCACAUGUGAGACCCCAUACUGGAUUGCCUGGAUUCAUUGCUACAGGCAACUCUCUGGUGAACAAACUCAUCUCCAACGGGUCUAAUGACACCAUACUGGGGGAGAAGGACACAUUUAUUUCCUGCUUUCCUGUGUCAUUGGACUUGCUGGAGUAAGCCCGUAUCCUGCACACUAAGUUUCACAUGUCUGCAAAUAAUUUGAUAGCCUUGUUUCCUGACUUUACUAUAACACAAUGCAAGCAUCUAGUUCAGGGUUGAAAGAAUUGUGCCCCUCUGGUGCUGCUUGGACCACUGUAACCACAGGGAGUAAACCCUCGAGGCCUCUCCACUAAUAAACUUUGGCAAAUGGAUGUCAUUUACAUCUUCUCUUUUGGUAAGCUCAAGUAUUCCUUGUUAUUAUGGACACUUACUCCAAAUGUAUACAUGCUAUGGCACAGUUAGGAGAGAAGGCUUCAAAUGCGAUAAAGGCAAUGAAAGCAGCAAUGUUAAUAUUGGAGUGACUUGGUCUCUAAAAACAGACAAUGGACAAGCAUAUACAUCACAGGAGUUUCAAAAUUUCCUGGUGUCCUGGAAGAUUACUCACACAACAGGCAUUCCUUAUAACCCACAAGGACAAGGUAUAGUGUAAAGGACUAACCAGACACUUAAGGAAACAUUACAGGAACAAAAGAAUGCUCAUAUAUGCCCAGAUCCUCAUCUUGUAUUGAUGCAUGCUCUUUUUGCCCUCAAGUUUCUUAACUUUGACUCAAAUGGGAUAAGCCCUGAAUACAAGCACUGGAGCUCCUUUCCCUCCCUGGCUCCAGUCCCUCUAGUACAUUGGAAAGAUCCACUCACCAAUGCAUGGAAAGGGCCACACCCUUUGAUUACCUAAGGUAGAAGCUUCACCUGUGUUUUUCCAGAGGAUGCCUCUCACAUCUCUUGGGUACCAGCAAAAAAUGUCAGACCAGCCAUUGACAGCCAGGCUUCAGAAACCAAGCCAAAAGGAGAAGAAGAAAUCAUCAUGACCUUCCCACUUGAGGGCUUACAAGAUAACCUGGGGUGAUAUCAAAACCGUAUCAGAUCAAGCCCAGACCAUGUCACCUGCCAGAGACCAGAGCCCUGGUACUCUCUUCUUGCUUAUGUGUGCAACUAUAACCUGAAACUCACAGGUAAAUGCACAACAGGAGAAAGAAAGGUCUCUGCCUAACAGCCUGAUAAUUCAAGGCUCUAUGCUGGCCUGUCUAAGCAAAACGGACACACUUUAAAUUAUGGCCCAUGAGAGAAAAAAUUGCUUUGCAGGCAGCUAUCACUCAUA